rnacentral:rRNA from 1 species
UAGGGAAUCUUCCACAAUGGACGCAAGUCUGAUGGAGCAACGCCGCGUGAGUGAAUAAGAUCUUCGGAUCGUAAAACUCUGUUGUUAGAGAAGAACACGAGUGAGAGUAACUGUUCAUUCGAUGACGGUAUCUAACCAGCAAGUCACGGCUAACUACGUGUCAG